rnacentral:tRNA from 1 species
GGUAAAAUGGCUGAGGUUUAGGCGAUAAAUUGUAAAUUUAUUAACAAGAUUAUUCUUUUUUAUCA